CCUCAUCCAAUCCUUGAAGGCCUGAAUAGGACAAGAAAGAACAAGAGGCGAGAUAACAAAGAAUUGUCACUCUGUGCCAGGCUGUCUUCCAUCUGGGACAUCUGCCUUCUCUUGCCUUCCGACUCAACUUGGACUGGAAUCUACACCAUUGGUUGUCCUGUUUCUGAAGCCUUCGGGGUUGGACUGGAACUAUGCCAUCUGCUGCCUUGCUGGGUGUUCAGUCUGCCCGUUGCAAAUCCUGAGAUUUCUCAGCCUCCAUAGUCAUCCUUCAGAUGGGAUCCUCUGUGUGGUGAAUUUUGUGGUGGGCCACCAAAAGACCCCUGCAGGAAUGGAGAAUUGAUUUCCCCAUCUGCUGGGCAUGCUGCAGGAAGAUGACCUUUGCUCACAUUGACUUUGGGUUGCUUCAGCUAAAGAAAAUUGCCUAAAAGAAAAUUGCCUAACUCAGAAUAAAGGUUUUCCAGGGUCAGGCCAUAUCCAAUAACUGGUCACCCAGAAGGUGAGACCCGCUCACCACCAUUCUGAAGAACUCUUAAGAGCUGUCCAGCUUGGAGCCCUCCGUAGGUGAGCUGAAUCUUUCUUUGUGACUGCAUUACAGUUUGCCUUCCCCCUCAGUCCAAUCCUGCUUUCAUCCUCUCCCCUGCACAUGAAGGUUUGAACUCCAAGCCCACCCCCACAUAAACAUCUUGAAUGCUCAAAAUCUCCACUCAGAAUCAGCUGAACAAGAAACUCAGCCUACUCUACUCAGCCCACGUGCUGCAGCACAGACAUAACCCUUUAGAGCUAUUGGCUUUUGACUUUUUAAGUAAACUUUUUAAUAAAGAAAUACUUAUACAAGUGAACAAAUUGUAAUGAUGCAGCUCAAUGACUUCUCAUGAAGCUCACACUCAAUUAUAACAAUACUCGGAAGAGGAAACGGAACAUUAAUGGAUCCCCAGGAACGCUUUCUGGGGCCUCCUCCUCUCUAAAGAAGUGGCUAUUAUGACUUCUACAUAAUAAAUCAUUCUGUUUUUGAACUUGAUAUAAGUAGAAUCUUACAAUUUGUGCGCUAUUUAUUAUGUGGCUUCUUUCACUCUGCAUUAGGCUCAUGAGAUCCAUCUAUGUUGUUAUACAUAGUUUAGUUCUUUCAAGGCAAUACAAUAUUCAAUUACGUGAAUAUGUCAUACAUUAUUCAUCAGCUUCUGGACAUUUUUUCCCCUCAAUUUUGGCUACUAUGGAUAGUGCUGCAAAUAAUAUAAUUGUAAAUGUCUUUUGGUGAACAUAUGUAUGCAUUUCUUUUGAAUAUCCUUGUAUCCUAAGAGAAUUGCUAGAUCAUAAGACAUGCAUAUUUUCAGCUCUGUGGAUGGCACCAGUUUUCCAAAGCGGUUAAGCCAAUUUAUGUUUUUACUAGUAGUAUUUGAGAGACCUGGUGGUUUUUACUUGCUUGCAAACAGUUGAAAUGUUUUACUUUUGUUUUUUUUAAGCCUUUCCAGUGGAUGUGUGGUACUAUUGCAUUAUAAUUUUAAUGUGCAUUGUACCAACAGCCAUGAAGCUGAA
rnacentral:lncRNA from 10 species